AGUGAACGCUGGCGGUAGGCCUAACACAUGCAAGUCGAACGGCAGCACAGUAAGAGCUUGCUCUUACGGGUGGCGAGUGGCGGACGGGUGAGGAAUACAUCGGAAUCUACUUUUUCGUGGGGGAUAACGUAGGGAAACUUACGCUAAUACCGCAUACGACCUACGGGUGAAAGCAGGGGAUCUUCGGACCUUGCGCGAUUGAAUGAGCCGAUGUCGGAUUAGCUAGUUGGCGGGGUAAAGGCCCACCAAGGCGACGGUCCGUAGCUGGUCUGAGAGGAUGGUCGGCCACACUGGAGCUGAGACACGGUCCAGACUCCUACGGGAGGCAGCAGUGGGGUAUGUUGGACAAUGGGCGCAAGCCUGAUCCAGCCAUACCGCGUGGGUUAAGAAGGCCUUCGGGUUGUAAAGCCCUUUUGUUGGGAAAGAAAAGCAGCAGGUUAAUACCCCGCUGUUCUGACGGUACCCAAAGAAUAAGCACCGGCUAACUUCGUG
rnacentral:rRNA from 1 species